GAUGAAGAACGUAGCGAAAUGCGAUACGUAAUGUGAAUUGCAGAAUUCAGUGAAUCAUCGAAUCUUUGAACGCACAUUGCGCCCCCUGGUAUUCCGGGGGGCAUGCCUGUCCGAGCGUCAUUACAACCCUCAAGCUCAGCUUGGUGUUGGGCCCCGCCGCCCCGGCGGGCCCUAAAGUCAGUGGCGGUGCCGUCCGGCUCCGAGCGUAGUAAUUCUUCUCGCUCUGGAGGUCCGGUCGUGUGCUCGCCAGCAACCCCCAAUUUUUUUCAGGUUGACCUCGGAUCAGGUAGGGAUACCCGCUGAGCUUAAGCAUAUCAAUAAGCGGAGGA
rnacentral:misc_RNA from 1 species